UACGUAGGGUCCGAGCGUUGUCCGGAAUCAUUGGGCGUAAAGCGCGUGUAGGCGGUUUGGUAAGUCCGCUGUGAAAGUCCAGGGCUCAACCCUGGAAAGCCGGUGGAUACUGUCAGACUAGAGUACGGGAGAGGCGAGUGGAAUUCCUGGUGUAGCGGUGGAAUGCGCAGAUAUCAGGAGGAACACCGAUGGCGAAGGCAGGUCACUGGGCCGCAACUGACGCUGAGGAGCGAAAGCAUGGGGAGCGAACAGG
rnacentral:rRNA from 1 species